GACGAACGCUGGCGGCGUGCUUAACACAUGCAAGUCGAACGGAAAGGCCCUGCUUUUGUGGGGUGCUCGAGUGGCGAACGGGUGAGUAACACGUGAGUAACCUGCCCUUGACUUUGGGAUAACUUCAGGAAACUGGGGCUAAUACCGGAUAGGAGCUCCUGCUGCAUGGUGGGGGUUGGAAAGUUUCGGCGGUUGGGGAUGGACUCGCGGCUUAUCAGCUUGUUGGUGGGGUAGUGGCUUACCCAGGCUUUGACGGGUAGCCGGCCUGGGAGGGUGACCGGCGACAUUGGGACUAAGAGACGGAGCAGACUCGUACGGGAGGCAGCAGUGGGGAAUAUGGCACAAUGGGCGGAAGCCUGAUGCAGCAACGCCGCGUGCGGGAUGACGGCCUUCGGGUUAUAAACCGCUUUCGCCUGUGACGAAGCGGGAGUGACGGUAAUGGGUAAAGAAGCACCGGCUAACUACGUG
rnacentral:rRNA from 1 species